AUUGAACGCUGGCGGCAUGCCUUACACAUGCAAGUCGAACGGCAGCACGGGUGCUUGCACCUGGUGGCGAGUGGCGAACGGGUGAGUAAUACAUCGGAACGUACCUUAUCGUGGGGGAUAACGCAGCGAAAGCUGUGCUAAUACCGCAUACGCCCUGAGGGGGAAAGCGGGGGAUCGAAAGACCUCGCGCGAUUGGAGCGGCCGAUGGCUGAUUAGCUUGUUGGUGGGGUAAAAGCCCACCAAGGCGACGAUCAGUAGCUGGUCUGAGAGGACGAUCAGGCACACUGGGACUGAGACACGGCCCAGACGCCUACGGGAGGCAGCAGUGGGGAAUUUUGGACAAUGGGGGAAACCCUGAUCCAGCAAUGCCGCGUGAGUGAAGAAGGCCUUCGGGUUGUAAAGCUCUUUUGUCAGGGAAGAAACACCGGCUCUAACACAGUCCGGGAAUGACGGUACCUGAAGAAUAAGCACCGGCUAACUACGUGCCAGCCGCCGCAGGUAA
rnacentral:rRNA from 1 species